UACGUAGGGGGCGAGCGUUGUCCGGAAUCAUUGGGCGUAAAGCGCGUGUAGGCGGCUCGGUAAGUCUGCUGUGAAAGUCCAGGGCUCAACCCUGGGAUGCCGGUGGAUACUGUCGAGCUCGAGUCCGGAAGAGGCGAGUGGAAUUCCUGGUGUAGCGGUGAAAUGCGCAGAUAUCAGGAGGAACACCAAUGGUGAAAACAGGUAGCUGGGGCUGUGCUGACGCUGAGACACGAAAGCCAGGGGAGCAAACGGG
rnacentral:rRNA from 1 species